UACGGAGGGUGCAAGCGUUGUUCGGAAUCACUGGGCGUAAAGCGCGUGGAGGCGGCCCGCCAAGUCUGAUGUGAAAGCCCGGGGCUCACCCCCGGAAGAGCAUUGGAAACUGGCAGGCUAGAGUCCCGGAGAGGAGGGUGGAAUUCCUGGUGUAGCGGUGAAAUGCGUAGAUAUCAGGAGGAACACCGGUGGCGAAGGCGGCCCUCGGGACGGUGAUUGACGUUGAGACGCGAAAGCGUGGGGAGCAAACAGG
rnacentral:rRNA from 1 species